rnacentral:tRNA from 1 species
GAAGGUAUAGCUCAGUGGUAAAGUGCGUGCGUAGCUUGCACGAAGUCCUGGGUUCAAUCCCUAGUACCUCUG